GAAUUUGAGACGAAUAAUAAUAAUUUAGAAAAUAAAAAAGGUGAAAUGACCUAUCUUUGACUAAUUGAAUGUUGAUAUAUGGAUAUCAGCAUA